UUAGUUUUUUUUAUUAGUGCUCGAACACCCCAUACGACACCUUAUAUAAUAUCCGAUGUGACAUACCAAAGACUUUACAUCCGUGGAUCAUAACACCCCCUACCUAUAAGCAAGAGGAAAUGUUGGUCCUACCUUUUCCUAUCCAACCUUUACGAACUACUACUCCUUUCCAAUUUAUCGCCCCCAAACCGGCAGACGGAUCCAGCGGUGGCGUCCGCAGGAGGAGGAGGCAGUGACGGCGGCGGCGGCGGCGACUGUGCUCGCGGGGGGCUGCAGUGGCGGCGGGAAGGAGGUCGCGACGGUGGUGGCCCUCAUGUUCCCUUUCCGGUUGGCGAAUGCACGUCAUGCAAUGCCAUGCCGCCGCCGCCGCCGCCGCCGCCACGGUUCCCGCCUACUGUGCCCUUAUCCGCCCUCUGGCCUCCGCCGGCCGCGUCGAUGCCGUCGACGCCGCCGUCGCCUCCGCGCGCUCUCGCCUCUCCCCCGCCACCAUCCACCCGCUCUACGUCGCCUCCAUUCGCGCCUACGCACGCGCCGGCCGCCUCCGCGACGCCGUGGAUGCCUUCGAGCGCAUGGACCUCUUCGCCUGCCCACCCGCCGCCCCCGCCUACAACGCCAUCAUGGACGCCCUCGUCGACGCCGCCUACCACGACCAGGCCCACAAGGUGUAUGUCAGGAUGCUUGCCGCCGGCGUUUCCCCCGACCUCCACACACACACCAUCCGCCUCAGGUCUUUCUGCCUCACCGCCCGCCCACACAUCGCUCUCCGCCUCCUUCGAGCCUUGCCACACCGCGGAGCGGUCGCCUACUGCACCGUCGUCUGCGGCCUCUAUGCGCACGGCCACACCCACGACGCGCGCCAACUGUUCGAUCAAAUGCUCCACACCCAUGUCUUCCCCAACCUCGCCGCUUUCAACAAGGUUUUACACGCUCUUUGCAAGAGAGGGGAUGUCUUGGAGGCUGGCCUACUUCUUGGAAAGGUCAUCCAGCGGGGCAUGUCUAUUAACCUCUUCACCUACAAUAUAUGGAUCCGGGGACUCUGUGAAGCUGGCAGGUUGCCCGAGGCUGUUCGACUUGUGGAUGGCAUGCGUGCAUACGCUGUUCCUGACGUCGUCACUUACAAUACGCUCAUCCGUGGACUCUGUAAGAAGUCGAUGCCCCAGGAAGCCAUGCACUAUCUUCGCAGGAUGAUGAAUCAGGGCUGCUUGCCCGAUGAUUUCACCUACAACACCAUCAUCGAUGGCUACUGCAAGAUAAGUAUGGUGCAAGAAGCUACUGAGCUCUUGAAGGAUGCUGUCUUUAAAGGUUUUGUGCCAGACCAGGUCACGUAUUGCUCAUUGAUCAACGGCCUAUGUGCUGAGGGUGACGUUGAGAGGGCAUUGGAGCUGUUUAAUGAGGCCCAGGCAAAGGGAAUCAAGCCUGAUAUUGUCGUUUACAAUUCUCUUGUCAAGGGGCUCUGUCUUCAGGGGCUCAUCUUGCAUGCGCUGCAGGUCAUGAAUGAGAUGGCUGAGGAAGGUUGCCAUCCUGACAUUCAAACAUACAAUAUUGUCAUCAAUGGACUAUGCAAAAUGGGGAAUAUUUCGGACGCCACAGUUGUCAUGAACGAUGCCAUCAUGAAAGGCUACCUUCCAGAUGUGUUUACCUUCAACACAUUGAUUGAUGGGUACUGCAAGAGGUUGAAGCUGGACAGUGCUCUUCAGCUUGUUGAACGAAUGUGGGAAUAUGGCAUCGCUCCAGAUACUAUCACAUACAAUUCAGUCCUAAAUGGCCUCUGCAAAGCUGGGAAGGUCAAUGAAGUCAAUGAAACAUUCCAAGAGAUGAUCCUUAAAGGUUGUCAUCCAAACCCUAUCACAUACAACAUACUGAUAGAGAAUUUCUGCAGGUCUAAUAAAAUGGAAGAAGCUUCGAAGGUGAUAGUGAAGAUGAGUCAAGAAGGAUUGCAUCCUGAUGCAGUUAGUUUCAACACACUGAUUUAUGGGUUCUGUAGGAAUGGUGAUCUUGAGGGAGCAUACCUAUUGUUUCAGAAAUUGGAGGAGAAAGGGUACUCUGCAACAGCCGAUACUUUUAAUACCCUGAUUGGUGCGUUUUCUGGGAAACUGAAUAUGCAUAUGGCAGAAAAGAUUUUUGAUGAGAUGCUCAGCAAGGGCCAUAGAGCUGAUUCAUAUACUUAUCGUGUUCUAAUUGAUGGAUCCUGCAAGACUGCAAAUGUUGACCGUGCAUACAUGCAUCUAGUAGAAAUGAUAAAGAAGGGUUUUAUUCCUUCGAUGUCAACAUUUGGUCGUGUAAUAAACUCACUAACAGUGAACCAUCGUGUUUUUCAAGCUGUUGGAAUUAUUCACAUCAUGGUGAAAAUCGGAGUAGUUCCUGAGGUUGUUGAUACCAUCUUGAAUGCUGAUAAGAAGGAGAUAGCUGCACCAAAGAUACUUGUUGAGGACUUGAUGAAGAAGGGUCACAUUAGUUACCCUACUUAUGAAGUUCUGCAUGAAGGAGUUAGAGAUAACAAAUUAACUAGAAAACACCGAAUGUUGUUGCUCAACAACCUCAGUCAUUCAUAAUCAUUAGAGACAGCAUGGCUUUGUUGUGUCAACCAACCCACAAGUGUUUAUGUUUCUAGUUCUCCAGGAUCUUGUAUGCAGUCAAACUUUGUUACUUCAGGUGCAAUCUACCAUAUAUUGCUUAGAAUAUGGAAAACAGAGAGCAUCUGAUCCGAAAUGCAGGAAAACGACAGAAGGUCUGUGGCUAUUCUUUGUACUUCAUAUUCUAAGGACACUAGGCUAGAGUCUUCUCUACAUUUAAUUUCAUACUUCACGCAAAAAAAUGUUUGUCUCGGACUGCAAGGCCGUUGGUAGUAGUUAAUAGUUUGGAACAUCAACCAUAUACAAAGAUUUCAGAUACUAUUCAUGUUUUGAAGUACUCCUGUGUUUUCUCUUGCCCUGGAAAGAUACUUUUGGUUUUCUGCGUGAACCAGAUUAACCGGGCUAGAAGUGUGAAUUCGAAACAACUGCAUUUGCUCUGCACUUGGAUUCUUCUUCCCAUUCAGAUUGUGCCGACCUGCUGAGAAUAAGAUUAAAGAGAUCUUCAACGGUCAGCCAAAUUAAUAGUUAUAUUUAAAGGAAAUGUCAAUUCCCACAUUCAUACCAUAAUCUUCAGCAAGAGAACAGUAUGGCUGUUGUUCAAAUGUUUUUGGGAUUCUAUUAUUAUCAAAAAUGGUUUGGGCAUUAAAGCUGGAACUGACAAGGAGAUGGGAGGGACCAUCAGCUUCCAGGUCGCUCAUGUAUAGUUUUAUCUACUCAUUCACAGGAAAAUGAGCCAGUGGUCAGUGGCUCUCUGACCUGUCAAACUAUGGUAGUAGCUAGAAUAUGCUAAAAGGUACUGUAACUCUAUGGUUUGGUGCCAAGUAUAAAUGAUACCUGUUUAAAUGAGAAGAGAGGUAAGCAUCACUUGCAUACUUGGGCCAGGUGGCAUUGGAGACCAGUUUAAUCAAAACAAUCGGUCACAGAACUGAUACCAGGUUUGCGAGCUAUCACAAUUCACGACUGAUCAAUAUGCACUCUUUCACUCAUUUCUUCACAACUGACCAUCUUUUUGUUUAUUGCUGAUUUAAUGAAGAAGAGCCAAAUGAGUUGGAAUUGUUCUACAAUGGAUGAUAACCUGAUUGUCCUGAUAUAAGCACUGACGUAAAUUCCCUUAGGUUGGUUCGAGCAGGAUAAUGGGGCAUGGGCUCAUGGAUGUCAUGGUCUGUAUCAAGUCCGACCGGCUUAUAGGUUGCUAGUUGAAAAAGGCAAGAGAGAGGUGAUAAGCAUCUUGCCACAUUGGCACGUCCCAAGAUGGUGAAGAUCCAAUUUAUAGGCUUUUGUGGAAAUAUAAAGUUCAGCUGAAGGUGUGAGUUUUCUAGUGGCAUGUCAGUAAUUGUAGUGCCGGCUCAUGCUGUUAUGCAUUGGAGGCAUAUUGGUCAGAUUGCUUUUCCGGUGCAGACUGUAGGCGGGCAUAUGAUACUGUCCUCUCCCGCCGUUAAUUUGUCAAGAAAGCAACAUGCAUAAGAUUGAUUAUAUUGGCAAUUACUGCCAACAGGGUGUGUUGAGAUAAAUGUUGAUGGUGCUCAACUGCGCAUUAUGCUGACCAAUCUCAAGGUGUCUCCAGUGUGGUGAUCUAAUCAUCUAAGGAGGCUUUUAUCGCGGUAAUGUCCAAGUGGUAUGAUCCUAUUCAUGUUCUCUGGUUGCAGUGUUUAAUUUGAUUGUUGAGUUGGGGGGAUUGAUCAUGUUAUGGUGCAGAGGGACUGCCGAUAUCUCUAGUUUCACUUUGGUCUUGUUAGCAUCGGGCGUCAAUCUUGCAUAUCCUGGAGGAAAUACAAGAGCUAAGAAAGAGUUUUGUUUCUUUUAUUAUUGUGUAUGCUAAAACGAUAAAACUAAUUUAGCUACUCAUCCGUGUGUAAAGCAGACAAACAUGCUGUAUGAUUCGCACUUGGUUGAGUAAUUCAAUGAAAAGCUCAUGGUCUAAAAAAAAUUGAGUCAAGAAAAACAAAACAUAUACUUGUAGUUCACUUGAGAAAGUAUUCUAAAGUUUUAUUAAUAUUUUAUUUGAAAUUAAAUAUUAUAGGCAAAAGGUUUCACCACAGGAUAAUAUAUUUAUCUGUGAGUUGAGGUAUUCAUUUGUGUUGUAUCCUUGCUCAUAGAUAUUAGAUUUGGUAUGAGUGGACCAACUGAACCAUAAGGCUGAAUCAGCAUGAAGUACGUGUAAGCACUAAGCAAACAAGGAGAUGGUUACAUUUAACUUGGACGUUUUUCAAAGCUGUCGGGCUAGUUGCUUCCUGUUACGCCAUAUUCUGUCCUUUUCAGCUUAUGUCAUACUGAGAGAAAACAAAAUGAAUAACAGAGAUGCUGUGUUAAUUGUCUUAAUAUCUUUUGCAUAAUCAAAGCUACUGGUGGGGCCGUUGAUGCAGACUACUUAGCAUAAUGCUUAUGCAACUGGUUCUUGAAAUGGUGCCUCUAGUUCCAUCAUCCUGCAAAAAAUUGGACCAAUAGUAGGUUAAUGUUUUGACUUGUAGCACGGUAGCUGGAUUCCAAUGCUUUACUAUUAGUAUUACUAAUUCAUUAACAACCGGGCAGGCCUUGAAAAUUAAGUGGAGUUGAUAGGAGGCCUAAGUGUCCAUCAAACCUGCAGGCUGCAGCAGCACCGCUCCUCUUCUCUCGUGUUGCUUGCUUCUUCUACGGAGGGAUCACACUCCAGUUUCAGGCUCUACAGGACCAAAACUAAAACAGCAGUUGCAUAGCCUUUUUGUCCUGUUGAGUUGAGGAAGAUGUUGCCCCUUGAACACAAGCUGGAUGGAUACUGAAUUGUUGUGCUUGUUGCUUUUAAUCGUGGAAGCUAGGAGCUUCAAGAUUUAUUGUUCCUCUUGCUUCUGACCUUGCAAGCUAGGAGCUUGCACUGCAGGUGAAUUGCGAGUUAUGGGAGUAGUUCUUCUGGGUUUCUUUGGCCAACUGAUAAGACGACGAGCUGCUUGUCUGCGCUGGAAGCAAGCCGGCCGAGCAUCUUACCGCUGCAGCUAGCACCUUGACAAUUUCUCAGUUCUACAGCUUUGUUUAUAUAUGUUAAUGCAUGAAAUACAUGAGGAUGAACGCCCAGUUGUUGCAAGGCCUGUGUUCUGAUGGCAUAUGGAAGUAUGUUCUUCUAUGGUCAUUCCAAGGCAAUAGACAUCAUGGGAUAUUGACUUGGGGCGAUGUUUAUGUCGAUAAAGUGAUCACAGAAAUCAAAGGAGAUCUUUAUGAUAGCCCCAUUGAUAGCAAGAACCAGAUAGUAAUGUCUACUUUGUACAACAAUGACCAGUAC